GGACAAAUAGCUCAGUGGUAGAGCAUCGCCUUCACACGGCGGGGGUCGGGGGUUCGAAACCCUCUUUGUCCACCA
rnacentral:tRNA from 1 species